rnacentral:rRNA from 1 species
AGAGUUGAUCAUAGCUCAGGACGAACGCUGGCGGCGUGCCUAACACAUGCAAGUCGAGCGAGGAGAUUCCUUCGGGAUGAUCCUAGCGGCGGACGGGUGAGUAACACGUGGGCAACCUGCCUCAUAGAGAGGAAUAGCCUUCCGAAAGGGAGAUUAAUACCUCAUAACAUUGCAGUUUCGCAUGGAACAGCAAUUAAAGGAGCAAUCCACUAUGAGAUGGGCCCGCGGCGCAUUAGCUAGUUGGUGAGGUAACGGCUCACCAAGGCGACGAUGCGUAGCCGACCUGAGAGGGUGAUCGGCCACAUUGGGACUGAGACACGGCCCAGACUCCUACGGGAGGCAGCAGUGGGGAAUAUUGCACAAUGGGGGAAACCCUGAUGCAAGCAACGCCGCGUGAGUGAUGACGGCCUUCGGGUUGUAAAGCUCUGUCUUCAGGGACGAUAAUGACGGUACCUGAGGAGGAAGCCACGGCUAACUACGUGCCAGCCGCAGC